AUUACAAACAAAAUAUGUUGCCUUUCCUAAGUACAAACACUUAACUUUUGGUGCUUUGUAAGCAGCCUUGGAAAGAUUAUAUAUCUUCAUUCUUUGCCUCGCAUGAGAAGUGGCCAAACUCACAGCCAGGCCCAAAAUGGAAUGCAAGAUUUAACAGAGCACAAAUAUGUGUUCCCUUGAAUCAUACUUAUUACAUUGAGAAUUAGAAGAUGGUUAGUCAAGGUCAAGGUUAGCACAGAAAGGAUUUCCCACUGAGAAGACAAAACAGUACAAGAUACCGUAAUAGAGGGAAACAAGCAGGCCCAAGAAAGAACAAGGCAGCUCAAACAUAAAUGAUGAUUAUAUUCUAGGGAGCCAAAAGGAUUAGGAAUAUUCAUUUCCCAUAGGGACUUCCUCCCUGACCCCAAAUUC